rnacentral:rRNA from 1 species
ACAGAGGGGGCAAGCGUUGUUCGGAAUUACUGGGCGUAAAGCGCACGUAGGCGGCUUUGUAAGUUAGAGGUGAAAGCCCGGAGCUCAACUCCGGAAUUGCCUUUAAGACUGCAUCGCUCGAAUCAUGGAGAGGUGAGUGGAAUUCCGAGUGUAGCAGUGAAAUGCGUAGAUAUCAAGUGGAACACCAGUGGCGAAGGCGAGUCUCUGGACAUUUCCUGACGCUGAGGCACGAAAGCCAGGGGAGCAAACGGGA